AUUGAACGCUGGCGGCACGCCUAACACAUGCAAGUCGAGCGGCAGCGAGACUAGUAGCAAUACUAGUUGUCGGCGAGCGGCGGACGGGUGAGUAACACGUAGGAAUCUGCCCUUAAGCGGGGGAUAACCAAGGGAAACUUUGGCUAAUACCGCAUAAUCUCGAGAGAGCAAAGCUGCCCGCAAGGGUGGCACUUGAGGAGGAGCCUGCGUCCGAUUAGCUAGUUGGUGGGGGAAUGGCCUACCAAGGCGACGAUCGGUAACUGGUCUGAGAGGAAGACCAGUCACACUGGGACUGAGACACGGGCCAGACUCCUACGGGAGGCAGCAGUGGGGAAUAUUGGACAAUGGGGGCAACCCUGAUCCAGCGAUGCCGCGUGAGUGAGGAAGGCCUUCGGGUCGUAAAGCUCUUUAGGUUGGGAAGAAGGGUAGUGGCUGAAUAAUCCAGUACUUUGACGGUACCGACAGAAUAAGCACCGGCAAACUCUGUGCCAGCCGCCGCCGUAAUAC
rnacentral:rRNA from 1 species